rnacentral:rRNA from 1 species
UGGGGAAUAUUGCACAAUGGGGGAAACCCUGAUGCAGCGACGCCGCGUGAGCGAAGAAGGCUUUCGAAUCGUAAAGCUCUGUCCUAUGAGAAGAUAAUGACGGUACCCUGUGAGGAAGCCCCGGCUAACUACGUGCCAGCAGCCGCGGUAAUACGUAGGGGGCUAGCGUUAUCCGGAUUUACUGGGCGUAAAGGGUGCGUAGGUGGUCUUUCAAGUCGGUGGUUAAAGGCUACGGCUCAACCGUAGUUAGCCUCCGAAACUGGAAGACUUGAGUGCAGGAGAGGAAAGUGGAAUUCCCAGUGUAGCGGUGAAAUGCGUAGAUAUUGGGAGGAACACCAGUAGCGAAGGCGGCUUUCUGGACUGCAACUGACACUGAGGCACGAAAGCGUGGGUAGCAAACAGG